AGUGAAUUGAUAUAUCUGCGAAUCGGUGUUUGUAACUAAAUCUUUUCUUGGAAAACACUACUUUCUCUGUCUAUAGGGAUUAUUCAGAUUUAUUGUACAUUUAAUAGAUCAGAGAAUAGGGUCCGCCAGUUUUAUGAUACAGGCUAUCCUAUACAAGUAAUUUGGACAUUUUUGAGAUAAAGAUUAUAAACAUCUAAAUUGUAUCAUGGCAACAGACGAUGAAUGUAACCGGGGGAAAAUGAAGGAUAUAGAUUAUUAUGUUAUUCAGGAUAAUAUGACGUAUCUUUGUAAGGAGUUAAGAGGAAAAGAUAUUGCCGAUUUCAUGUUUGCAAAGCAUAUUAUAGACCGUGAUGAUAUGGAUAAGAUUGAAAAGGAGCAGAAGAAAGGGCGGCCUGAAGGGGUGAGGGCGGUAUUGAAAUGUUUGAUGGAAACUGGUGGUGUCAACGCAUUUCAUGCCUUUAUCUAUUGCUUAAAUAAUUCUGGCUUUAAACAUGUCGCAGAGAAGUUGGAACUUGAUCGAAAGGGAAGAAUCGACGCGAUAAAUCAGCCGGAACUACCAGAUCCCGAAACCACCACCCCUUCAAUAAUACAAAAAUAAUUGUUCGUGAAGUAAACUGGAUUGUUAUAAAUGGCUGUAAAAAAAUCUUAUAUUUACUAAAAAUAGUGAUAACAGAUAUCAGUUUCACUGUAACCCAGGUAUCAUUUAAUCUUGUGUAUCUAGCACUAAUUUCUUUCAGAUCUUUGUUUAAAAAUUUGUAAAAACUGUUUAAAAUCACCAUAAAUCGUUUAAUUUGUACUUCUGUCCAGUUUAAAGCUGACCAUUCAAUUUUGAUAAUGAGUGUCCAAUUUACAAGUGUUUAAUUUCUUGAUCACCGACAAUAGGGAAAAUAGAUAAGACUCAUGAUCACAUAUGGAAUUGUCUAUUUUAUUUUCUGAUCAGUAGUGGAAUACCGCGUUUUAUCAGUGAAAUAAAAGUGUUAUUCCACUGGCUAGUUGUUUUUACCUAAAAUGAUUGUAAAAUCAUAAAAUAAAUAGAACAUUUGUCGUUUUGUCGUGAAUAACAUAUUUUAUUUCAUCUCUAAGCAAGAAAACGUUUAUAUUUUCACUCAUGCUACGCAUUCGUGAAAAUAUAAGUUUUCUUGCUUCUCGAUGAAAUAAAAUAUGUUAUUCACUCUAAAACGACAAAUAUCCUCUAUUUAUCACGUCAUGGUAUGAUUACUGACACGUCCGUGUUCCUUUGAAGUCAUGCGGAGCUUGUACACAGAUCAUAUUAUGUAGUUUGUAAAUGACACAUGGGAUUAAUUACAUGUUUAAUUAGAUCAUAGUUGGGUUAACAGAAUCUGAAUAAUAGUUCGUAUUUUGUAAUUAAGCACAGAAAUUAAGCACACACUUUGUCACAAAUGUCUCAACUUGAUUAAUUGAUUGGCCUCAAUUAAACGGUAUCAUUAAAUAUAAUCAUUAUCAGUAGUUGCCUUAUAUUAUUCGAGUGUGUAAAAUAGGUUGUAUACGUUUCUAGAUCCUUUUUAAACAGGUUCCCUGUCUCCUACGACCACCUAGCUCAAAGAAAUCCCUACCAGAAACCUCAUUUAAGGAAAUCCGCGCGGGAAAAUCCUCCUCUCAGCCUGUAUAUCUUUUUUUUAAAAUUCCCUUUCAAUUUAUAGACCAGUAGGUCAUUAAACCUCAUUUCAUUUCAAAUUAGAGACCGUAUUUAAUCUCUUAAGUAUAGCUUAGUUACCCGUAUUGCCAAUGGCCAUUGCAUUUGCAGAUUUCAUCAUAGCUCGCAAUUAGAUGUAACGUGAUUGUGGGUUCGGUUUAGCCCUAGCCCAAAUUUUUGUAACCAUAACCCUAACAUCUCGUGACCUAUGGCGAAAUCUGCAAUGACUUGGCUUUCAGCCUUAAUUGCAUAGCAAGGGUGAAAAAUCGCAAUGUCUAACAUCCAGAAUUAAUACUGCACCAAAAAGCACCAUUUAAAAAUUCCCUUUGUAUUUACUUUUACUGAAGUCUUUUGUCGUUUGUUAUGCUCAAUUGUCUUUUUGACUAUUUCAUUUGGAAUUUAGAUUAUUUGGCGUGAAAAUAUUAUUUUAAUAAAGUUGUUUGAAAUUUAUAAAUAGAA